GAACUUCCUUUGCCCUGUGGUCCUUUGAGCUGGACGUAGAAUCAGACUGACGUGAGACAGACCAGCAGAGAGAAUCCAAUGUAAUAGGCUGCAUGCAGGGAAUCCACACAGGCUGGAAAUUCCAAAGACAAUGAGGCAACGUGAAGCUUCUAUGAGCUCAGGAGAGGGGUAGCUCAGGAGAGGAUACAAAGGAAAGGAAGGCCAAUAGCAGGAAGGAGAAAGGAGAUGUCUGAAAACCAGGGUUGCCCUGUUUUGCUGCACACAGAGACAUGACAUUCCUCUACAAGCCAGCAGAGAGCUCUCCCCAGAACCAACCAUGCUGAUGCCUUUGCCCUUGGACUGCCAGCCUCCGGAACUGAUGGAACCCUGAACUGUUAUGUUUCACCUACAAUAGUUUUUUCUCCUUCCGCUGGCAACAGAAAUCAGCAGCUUAAGAGCCUUUCAAGGGCAAUUCUGUCCUACUGGGUCGUCUCGAAGUUGAAUGGAUUUCCAUGGAAGAGGGGCCUGCAGAGCUGAUAAUCGAACAAAGACCAGAGAAAAUGAAAUUCACCUGUACUGACCAAGUGGGCAAGGGAGGGCAAUCCAAUGUCAAAUAAAGGGUGUUUCCAAAGUCAA